AUUGAACACUGGCGGCAUGCCUUACACAUGCAAGUCGAACGGCAGCACGGGGCAACCUGGUGGCGAGUGGCGAACGGGUGAGUAAUGCAUCGGAACGUACCUUUCAGUGGGGGAUAACGUAGCGAAAGUUACGCUGAUACCGCAUAUUCUGUGAGCAGGAAAGCAGGGGAUCGCAAGACCUUGCGCUGAUUGAGCGGCCGAUGUCAGAUUAGCUAGUUGGUGAGGUAAAGGCUCACCAAGGCGACGAUCUGUAGCGGGUCUGAGAGGAUGAUCCGCCACACUGGAACUGAGACACGGUCCAGACUCCUACGGGAGGCAGCAGUGGGGAAUUUUGGACAAUGGGGGCAACCCUGAUCCAGCCAUGCCGCGUGAGUGAAGAAGGCCUUCGGGUUGUAAAGCUCUUUCGGCCGGGAAGAAAUCGCACGGGCUAAUACCCUGUGUGGAUGACGGUACCGGAAUAAGAAGCACCGGCUAACUACGUGCCAGCAGCCGCAGUAACAC
rnacentral:rRNA from 1 species